UACAGAGGUCUCAAGCGUUGUUCGGAUUCAUUGGGCGUAAAGGGUGCGUAGGCGGCGCGGUAAGUCGGGUGUGAAAUCUUGGAGCUUAACUCCGAAACUGCAUUCGAUACUGCCGUGCUUGAGGACUGGAGAGGAGACUGGAAUUUACGGUGUAGCGGUGAAAUGCGUAGAUAUCGUAAGGAAGACCAGUGGCGAAGGCGGGUCUCUGGACAGUUC
rnacentral:rRNA from 1 species